CCCGAGCAGCCCUCGUACGGAGCCCGUCCACGUUCGCCUCGGCGACUGGAUGCAUGGGCUCGCGAAGGACCGCUGGGCGUGGAGGUUUCGCCAUG
rnacentral:ncRNA from 1 species